CUUACACAUGCAGUCGAACGAUGAAGCCCAGCUUGCUGGGUGGAUUAGUGGCGAACGGGUGAGUAACACGUGAGUAACCUGCCCUUGACUCUGGGAUAAGCCCGGGAAACUGGGUCUAAUACCGGAUAGGAACGUCCACCGCAUGGUGGUUGUUGGAAAGAUUUAUCGGUCAUGGAUGGACUCGCGGCCUAUCAGCUUGUUGGUGAGGUAAUGGCUCACCAAGGCGACGACGGGUAGCCGGCCUGAGAGGGUGACCGGCCACACUGGGACUGAGACACGGCCCAGACUCCUACGGGAGGCAGCAGUGGGGAAUAUUGCACAAUGGGCGAAAGCCUGAUGCAGCGACGCCGCGUGAGGGAUGACGGCCUUCGGGUUGUAAACCUCUUUCAGUAGGGAAGAAGCGAAAGUGACGGUACCUGCAGAAGAAGCACCGGCUAACUACGUGCCAGCAGCCGCGGUAAUACGUAGGGUGCGAGCGUUAUCCGGAAUUAUUGGGCGUAAAGAGCUCGUAGGCGGUUUGUCGCGUCUGUCGUGAAAGUCCGGGGCUUAACCCCGGAUCUGCGGUGGGUACGGGCAGACUAGAGUGCAGUAGGGGAGACUGGAAUUCCUGGUGUAGCGGUGGAAUGCGCAGAUAUCAGGAGGAACACCGAUGGCGAAGGCAGGUCUCUGGGCUGUAACUGACGCUGAGGAGCGAAAGCAUGGGGAGCGAACAGGAUUAGAUACCCUGGUAGUCCAUGCCGUAAACGUUGGGCACUAGGUGUGGGGACCAUUCCACGGUUUCCGCGCCGCAGCUAACGCAUUAAGUGCCCCGCCUGGGGAGUACGGCCGCAAGGCUAAAACUCAAAGGAAUUGACGGGGGCCCGCACAAGCGGCGGAGCAUGCGGAUUAAUUCGAUGCAACGCGAAGAACCUUACCAAGGCUUGACAUGUUCUCGAUCGCCGUAGAGAUACGGUUUCCCCUUUGGGGCGGGAUCACAGGUGGUGCAUGGUUGUCGUCAGCUCGUGUCGUGAGAUGUUGGGUUAAGUCCCGCAACGAGCGCAACCCUCGUUCAUGUUGCCAGCACGUAGUGGUGGGGACUCAUGGGAAACUGCCGGGGUCACUCGGAGGAAGGUGGGGACAACGUCAAAUCAUCAUGCCCCUUAUGUCUUGGGCUUCCCCCAGGCUACAAGGGCGGGAAAAGGGUUGGAAACUGUGAGGUGGACUAAUCCCAAAAACCGGUUUCAUUUUGGAAUGGGGGUUGCACCCCACCCCUGAAAUCGGAAUCCCUAUAAUC
rnacentral:rRNA from 1 species